UAGCCAGAGGAGAACUGGCCCCUGACUAGCCUGGGUUCUCCCAAGGUUUUUUUCUCCAUCCAAUCUGAUGGAGUUUUGGUUCCUUGCCACUGUCGCCUUGCUUUUGGCUUGCUUAGUUGGGGAUAUUUAAUAUUCAACAAUAUUAUUGAACUGUGUUGUACUACUUUCAUGUUAUCACUGUGAAGCUGCUUUGAUGCAAUCUGUAUUGUGAAAAGCGCUAUAUAAAUAAAUGUGACUUGACUUGACUUGACUUGUGUGUGUGUGUGUGUGUGUGUGUGGAGCACCUCCCAGUAGUGGCGUCCCGACUCGUAUCCGUGUUUCGCGAGCGCACAGGACCAGACGUCGAAGCGCUGAGAGAGUGUGUGUGUGUGUGAGUGUGUGUGACACCUCCCAGUAGUGGCGUCCCGACUCGUAUCCGUGUUUCGCGAGCGCACAGGACCAGACGUCGAAGCGCUGAGAGAGUGUGUGUGUGUGUGUGUGUGUGUGUCACCUCCCAGUAGUGGCGUCCCGACUCGUAUCCGUGUUUCGCGAGCGCACAGGACCAGACGUCGAAGCGCUGAGUGUGUGUGAGUGUGUGUGUGUGAGUGUGUGAGUGUGUG